GCUAAGUCAACCAGGUCAUUUCAGAGCUUCAAGACCUCAGCUGGGCCCAAGCAGCCUCCCUGGCUAAAGGAAGCUCAGUGUGGUCACUAAUCAUCAAACAGAAAUGGAGACACAGAGGACAAAGUGCAUGUUCUUGGCUCACGCGGGGUGAAUCCCCCUAACUCAGGCUGGUCUCUGUAUUUGCUCUGUGCAGCACACAGCAGUCACAACGGAAGGCCAAGCAGAUUUACCAGGCACCAUAAGCUUCCCUGCCCACGAGGCAUGACUGCCAGCUACUCAGCCUUUCCAGGGGAGAAAGAAAUGAUUCCACAGUUCCACAUGUUGCACGAAGUUAGUCUUCAUUCUCAUCAGCGUCGAUGAAGAAUCAAUUCAAUAAUUGGUGAUGAACAUAACUUGGGAACAACGGAUUGCAGACUAUUUACAUGUGAUAUAGUGAUGGUAUAUUGUCAGCAAAUGCUAUUUUAAAGGGAGUUUGCAAUUCCUGUAACAGAACUGUGUUCCUGACUGAAAAACAGAAAGUAUCAGACCACAGGAGUAACAUGAAGAACAAAAAUAGUCUAACAUUUUCAAAGCAGAAGCAAACUUCUAAGAAUGGGUUAAAAGUGUAUACUGACUGCUCUGAA